GGGGGAAUAUUUCACAAUGGGGGAAACCCUGAUGCAGCGACGCCGCGUGAGCGAAGAAGGUUUUCGAAUCGUAAAGCUCUGUCCUAUGAGAAGAUAAUGACGGUAUCAUAGGAGGAAGCCCCGGCUAAAUACGUGCCAGCAGCCGCGGUAAUACGUAUGGGGCGAGCGUUGUCCGGAAUUAUUGGGCGUAAAGGGUACGUAGGCGGUCUAUUAAGUCAGGUGUGAAAGCGUGAGGCUUAACCUCAUUAAGCACUUGAAACUGAUAGACUUAGGUGAAGGAGAGGAAAGUGGAAUUCCACGUGUAGCGGUGAAAUGCGUAGGUAUUAGGAGGAAUACCGGUGGCGAAGGCGACUUUCUGGACUUUUACUGAAGAUCAGGUACGAAAGCGUGGGGAGCAAACAGG
rnacentral:rRNA from 1 species